GGGUCAGCAGCAGCAAGCCUGGAGGGGUGGCUUCUUGUUGGAGGUGAAUCUGAGGCACCCACGCGCUGAUGGCUUCAUGAACACUGACAGCAGAGCCAGGGAGGGCACAGGAGUCUGAGCCCAGCCCCCGCCUAGGACUCGCUGGGAUGAGGGACCACGAGGACCUGGCACAGGGCCCUUCUUAGGCUAAGCUGGAUUCAGGCAACAGCAGCUUGUGGUUUGCACCAUCCUUGAGCAUUGACCACUGACAGGUCCAAGUGCAGCAUCCAAAGCUCAGCCCAGCUGAAGAAGCACAUCCUCUGGUCUGAAUCCACAGCAGAAGCGGGAGCUCGAUGCAUUCCCAGCUGGAUCUCAGCAAAGCGUAAUGGGGCUGCUCGCGAGGCGCCGUGCGAUUUGUCACAGGCCUCGUUCCCUGAUAACGGGCAUUUGUCAUCACUUUCUUCCUGUGUUAAUGUCAUCAUCGGCGAGCUGACAGGCAGACCCGUUGAGGGAGCACUGGCGACAGACCACAUCCGUCAACCUAAUAUUUCCAUGGCUGUGGGGAUCAGCCAGGCUGCGAACACACAUUAAAGUGCUUAUGAGGGGA